CCUAUUUUCUAGAUUACAACUAGAACUACUAGAACUAGAACUAGAUGAACUAGAACUAGAACUAGAUGAACUAGAACUAGAACUAGAUGAACUAGAGGGAUCCUCUCUACUUGGAUGAAUAAUUGAAACCCUAGCUUUGAUUCUGUAGAAAAGGUAUGUUCUCCAGGGGCCAGGGGGCCUGCUUAUAUAGCCCUUCCAAAUGAACAUGGGCCGUCGGAUCAAACCGACCUUAAUCGCCGCGAGACCUGCCCUGAUUGGUCACCAGGGCAGGGCGGGCGCCCAAGGGGGGAGGGCGGGCGCCCAGCCCCCGGGCCCGCUCGACCUCCCGUUCGUUCCCAUGGCUUCUGGAGUCUUCUAGAAUAUAGAAAAUUGGCGCACACAUUAAUAUCUCUAUGUAAACCCGACGUGUGGGCCUUUCCUCCAUGUUUCCUGAUAACCCCCUGCAGAAAUAGACAAACACCAAAACUUGUGGAAUUCUAUCACAUGAAACCCAAAUUCUGGAUGUUAGUUGCGUAUAGGUCCUCUUUCAUGAUUAGUUGACGGUUAAAUGUGAGCAUUAAGGACCGUCAACAAGCUCCCCCAAGCUUACCUCUUGCUCGUCCCUGAGCAAGGAUGGACUCAAGAGUUUCUGCAGUGGUUUCAUGCCUUAAAGGUACACAUAUGCUCAAACAAGAUCUCAUCUCUAGGUUAGGGUAAACUGUUAAGAUUUAAACUUACUCAUUUUACCUUCGACCAUGGGGCUUGCAACCGUAACUUGUGUCUUGAGCAGUUAAAAGAUAGAACGGUCUAGUCAAGCGCCAUGUCUCUUGUUCUUCGAUUAACUAUAGCUCUGGAGUUUUUGUAGAUUUUCAAAUAAAACUCAGAGAUUCCUUGUAUGACUCUCUCUAGUCUCUCUUUUGUGGUAUUUCUAGAUCCUUACCAAGGCAGUAAUGGUGUAUGCCUUCUCUCAAAGUAUGUGGUAUUUUUGGUAUGAGGCAUAGUGGCAUUACCUUCUCUCUCACCCUACUCUAAUAAGGUUUUGAUAUCUUGGAGCUCAUAGGUGAGAGACAGCUAAUACAUACUUACAAGACAUUUAUUGCAUAGUCAAACCAUGGAUCCACAAGAACAAGUCAAUAAGUCAAAUCAAGAUGUGCAUGUGUGGCGAAUGAAUGGUGAUAAUGGUGAAAAUAAUGGUAAAAGUCUAAUUCUACUUUUGCUCUUUUGAGGGGGUACAUACCUUCCUUGCACUUGAGGCUUUUGAGGGGAAUGAGAUGCUCUAUAUUUUAUUUUUCUUUUCUCUCAGGUGGGUAUCUUGUACCCCUAAUUCUACUGUCACACACUUGUCCAUUUUUACCUCUCGUCUCACUUUUUCUUCUCUCCUUUUUUCUCUUUUUUUUCUUCCGAGGUUUCGGGCACUUGUCCCUUGUUAUUUCCUCGUAUUCACUUUUUUUUAGAGCACUCACCCUCCUGGAAUAAUGUAGCAAGUGGUAGUAACCAAAAUAUCUUGAGCAUUUAUUUCAUGGGGAAUAACACGGAUAGGAUAAUGUUUUUGGCUAUUCUCUCCUAGAUAGGAGUAGAAUAAUUUUAGGUGAAUCUGGAUAUGGAAAUGAGUGGAUGUAUGUGGAUGCGUACUUUCGGAGUAGAAGCAGCAUGUAUGAGUGAACGUGCAAGUGAAUCUUGAUUUUAACCACAUGACAAGCUCCUAAGGGUCUACACAGCUUGACCACACUCAAUGCUCAUAAGCAGUAAAAAGUAAAUGUAUGGUUCAUAGUCUAAUAAGCAUGUAUAUAUGGCUGUGGUAGGAUUUUAAACUCUCAUCAUACAGGAACUCAUUAUGCAACAUUUUAAAGAUUUUCAAAGAUAAAAUUCUCCAGAAUUCUAGCAUCUCUAGGAACAGAUAAACAGAAGCUCAACCUUCCCAUAUCGUAUCCGUUAACGACUUAGACUUUAGAUCAAGUACUCUUCCCACAAGUUCAGGUUUAGAGCAAAUCUUAAUUAAUAACAGUCAUGCCUAAACUUGAGAGAGAUUUCAAUUUUGAGAACUAGUCAUGGCAGAGCAACUAUUCAUCAUUUCCAUGUGAGAGCUUAUCAUGAGGGUUCAUAGCAAACUUUAUUUAUUUAUUUAUUUAUUUAGCAAACUAAGCAAAGAUAUAUAUAUAAGCACAAAAUCUUUAUUUGGGUUUUUAUGAUUAUGCAUCUUUUUAUUAUUUGAGUAAAGUAUAAACGUGAGUAGAACACUUAGCUGGAUAAAUGUGGGUGCUCUCCCCCAAGCUGGAUUUUGAUGUAAUUUCUUCUGAUCUUGCUAGCAGGUGGCGGAGGUGUAUUUGAAUGUCGGCAGCACCCUGACAGCGAUUAGGAUGUCCUCCGUCUGCUAGUGUUCUUUGAUCCUUGAAUUUUGUGGAGCUCAAAUAGACAACAAAGCUUUGUGGAGCUGGGUAAGUGUUAGCAUAAAAUCUCUUAGUCGUUAUCAUGUUGAACUUCCUCUUAGAGAGUAACAUUUAUUGAGGAGGCUCGCCCUCCCCCCUUGGGCGCCCACCCUGCUACAGGAGCCAAUCAGGCUCCGCCUCGCGGAUUAUGCUCCACCGACCUAAAGGAUUAAGGUCAGUUUUAUCCGACGGCCCACAUUUAUUUGGAGGGGCUAUAUAAGCAGGACCCCUGGCCCCUGGAGAACAUACCUCUUCUACAGAAUCAAAGCUAGGGUUUCAAUUAUUCAUCCAAGUAGAGAGGAUCCCUCUAGUUCAUCUAGUUCUAGUUUUAGUUCAUCUAGUUCUAGUUCUAGUUAGUUCUAGUUGUAAUCUAGAAAAUAGGGAGAGACAAGAGGAGAGAGGAGGAGGAGCCGGAUCUGUCGGAUCUUCCUCAACAUUAUACUUUUGUAGCAACUGGUUUGUUCUUCAUCGUUCUCCAAGUUCUUCAGUUCAUAAUUCCUAAGUUCUUUAAUUACUUUUAUUUACAUUCA
rnacentral:lncRNA from 1 species